rnacentral:rRNA from 1 species
AUGGCGGCAAAUAAGCAUCUCUUUCGCUUUGAGUCUUUCGUGAUAAAGGACAGGUCAGAGAUUCAUUUCUGGGAAGACAUCUGGCUAGGCAAUGCCAGUCCCCAAGAACAAUAUCCAGCCUUGUACAUCAAUGCUCGCGAAAAGAAUAAUACUAUUGCGCAGGUGCUCAGUUCAUCCCCGCCGAAUAUUUUGUUCAGGCGAGAUUUGAUUGGGCCUCGACUUACGUCAUGGCAUAAUCUAUUGUCCAGGCUGGAUUCGAUUAACCUGACACAAGACUGGGAUGUGUUUCGCUGGAACCUUACUACAUCGGGGUCUUUCACAAUAGACUCCAUGUACCGUGCACUCAUUCAUUCUGAGGUACCGUUGAAUAAUAAUAAGAAACUAUGGAAGUUGAAGAUUUCACUAAAGGUCAAAAUCUUCAUGUGGUAUCUUCGUAGGGGAGUUGUGCUAACCAAUGACAACCUCGCACGGCACAACUGGCAAGGGAGUAAGAAGUGUUGUUUUUGUACUCAUGACGAGACAAUCAAACACCUCCAUUUCCAAUGCAAGUUUGCACGUUCUACAUGGUCUGUCAUCCAAAUAGCGUCAAAUUUGUAUCCGCCCACAAGUGUUGCCAAUAUUUUUGGUCAUUGGUUGAACGGUAUUCCAAAUAGGUUCAAAACGCUAAUGAUUUCGUUUUUAAUGACAAAAAUGCUUCUCCUCUAUAGGUUAUUUUCCGGUGUACGCACUCGCUUCAUACAUGGUCAACACUACAACGAGUGGAGUACCAACCGCUGUUCAAGGCCGUGUAUACGCGAUUGGAGCAGAUGGCUAAGGAGGUUUUUCCCAACAUGUGUGGUAGCAUAA